AACGAAAUUGAUGAAAGCUUAUGGAAGAAGGGGAGGUGAGUGUUUGGUGAACAAAGGACUCUAGGUUAGGUGGCCAUAUAUAAGUGGAAGGAAGCUAGAGGGAAACAAAGAAAAGAAAUAACAGAAGGUGACUCUCGGAUAGAUGGGCUAAACUGAAUUCAACAACAUUUCUCUAACAUUCCAAAGAGUGAGUCAUUAAAAAGAGAGGAUGAGUGAAUUUAUAGAUGAUUCACCCUCCUUUUGAAGCUUCAUACAAGUUGAUCAUUAGCCAAAACAGAUAUAUCAAAUG
rnacentral:lncRNA from 1 species